UACGGAGGGUGCAAGCGUUAUCCGGAUUCACUGGGUUUAAAGGGUGCGUAGGCGGGGUGGUAAGUCCGUGGUGAAAUCCCCAAGCUUAACUUGGGAACUGCCGUGGAUACUAUCAAUCUUGAAUAUCGUGGAGGUAAGCGGAAUAUGUCAUGUAGCGGUGAAAUGCUUAGAUAUGACAUAGAACACCAAUUGCGUAGGCAGCUUACUACACGAUCAUUGACGCUGAGGCACGAAAGCGUGGGGAGCAAACAGG
rnacentral:rRNA from 1 species